rnacentral:rRNA from 1 species
AACGAACGCUGGCGGCAUGCCUAACACAUGCAAGUCGAACGAGACCUUCGGGUCUAGUGGCGCAAGGGUGCGUAACGCGUGGGAACCUGCCCUUAGGUUCGGAAUAACUCCCCGAAAGGGGUGCUAAUACCGGAUAAUGUCUUCGGACCAAAGAUUUAUCGCCUUUGGAUGGGCCCGCGUUGGAUUAGCUAGUUGGUAGGGUAAAAGCCUACCAAGGCGACGAUCCAUAGCUGGUCUGAGAGGAUGAUCAGCAACACUGGGACUGAGACACGGCCCAGACUCCUACGGGAGGAAGAAGUGGGGAAUAUUGGACAAUGGGCGAAAGACUGAUCCAGCAAGGCCGCGUGAGUGAUGAAGGCCUUAGGGUUGUAAAGCUCUUUUACCCGGGAAGAUAAUGACAGUACCGGGAGAAUAAGCUCCGGCUAACUACGUG